GUGCUCACUUCAGCAGCACAUAUCCUAAAAUUGGAAUGAUACAGAGAAGAUUAGCAUGACCCCUGUGCGAGGCCGACAAGCACAUUCGUGAAAAACCCCAAUUUAAA
ensembl:snRNA U6 U6 spliceosomal RNA